AAUUCCAUGGGACACACGCACCCCUGUGUUUAUUGCAGCAUUAUUUCCAAUAGCCAGCACAAGCGUCCAUUGACAGAUGAGUGAAUGAAGAAGAAGCCCUAUAUGUAUGUAUGUGUGUGUGUAUAUGUAUAUCCAUACACACACACACACACACACACACAUACACACUGUAGUAUUAAUCAUAAAACAAUGAAAUCUUGCCAUUUGCAAUCACCUUGAUGGAACCUGAGAGUAGUAUGGUAAACAAAGUCAGGGAAAGACAAAUACCAUAUGAUUUUACUCAUGUAGCACUUAAGAAACAAUGAAUGAGCAAAAGGACGAUAAAAAAAGGGGAGACAAACCAAGAAAUAGGCUCUUAACUGCAGAGAACAAACAGUUGGUUCCCAGAGAGGAGGUGAGUGGUGGGAGGGGUGAAAGAGGUGAUGGGGAUGAAGCAGUGUCCUUGUCAUUAUGAGCACGGGGUGAGUAUGGAGUUGAUGAAUCACUGUAUUAAUAAACUAAUAUAACACUGGAUGUUACUAUUACUGGAAUUAAAAUAAAACUUAAUGAAAAAACCAGAGGGCAACUUUUAAUUAUACCAAGAAACUUCGUUGAAUAAACAGAUAGCUGACAUUUCACUUAAUUUUUGAAUUUUUUUUUAAAUAAAUGAACAUGUUUUUGUUGUAUAUUUUUGCUCUAAAGGCUUUCUGACAAACCUGGUCCUGAUGAUUCAUGGUCUACAUCAGCUAGCCAAGAUUUAGAUUUUGGUACCAAGAAUGUCCAGAAACCACGUGUAGCAAAGCUACUGCAUUCUUCUUGGCAAUCCAUGAAAAACAUGAGAGCAGAACGUGGCACUGUGAAACCAGAAGGUGGAACCUUAUCUGAGGACAACAAUCCUGAUUCUGAAAAUUAAGAUAUGGCUGAAACUCUUUCCACACCAGUAGCCAGAGUUUAUGGUGAUCCUCUUCGUGUUUUACCAUCAUCUAAAUCUCUUCUGAAAUCUUCUCUCAAGACGUUAGCUGUCCUUGGUCUUGCAAAGGUAAGUUGUUUUGUUUUAUACUCCCCCAACCCCAUACCAUCCUCUUGCUCCUUAUAAUGAUGAAAAGGAUCUUAGGAAGAAAUGGAAGUCCUCAAGAUCAUAAUAGAAAUCAGACUGAUGACAACAGAGAGGAAGGUACAGGAUUGAAAUUUAUAAAGUUUGGUGGGAGUAGAUAAUUCUCGGGUAUGCCUUUAUGGAAGCAAAGAAGGAGAAGGCAGCUGGAAAGAAUAGCUCGAUGC